GUUUAUCUCAUGUCUCUAAUUUCUUGUUAAAAGAAUAUAUUUCUGUCUUUGUCUUCAAUGCAUUUUAGGUUUGUAUCAGAAUCAUAAUAGAAAGAAAGUCAUUUUGGUUAUGACAUGGUCUGAAAGUGCAACUCUGGGACAGAGUGUACGCGGAGCUCAUGUCACGGAGUAUUUUCCACGUGUGAAAUGAGGGGACGCAUGCUGGGGAAAGACCAUGUGAGGGAAGUUUAUUGCGAAUAAAGGAAGAAUCAUGGGACAGAAAGCCGGAGUGGAGCUUCAGGUGGAGAUAGUAACUGCAGACUCAUGCUGAGUGUGGCUGGUGGAACCUCACAUCUGUCCCCAAGGAAUUUAUUGCACCUUGUGUUUGGAACCCCUGACUUAUCCCUCUCCAAAUUUUCCAUGCCCAGAUCGGUGCCCUGCGUGGAGUACGCCCAUUAUAAAAAUUAAUAAAAAUUAGUCAUAAUAAUGAUAGCAUUUUAAAAGUGAUUAAAUGAAUGCAAUGGUUUAUUUGUGUUAAAAUUAGGGAAUUCUGUGGUCAAAUAGGUUUAGAGAAUGCCGAGUUGAACAGAUUUCCUUACAGCAGAAAUUUUCAAAGAUUUUAAGAAGAAAUAUGCAUUGUGAACCUAAUUGAGUUGAUAUAUACCGUAGCAUGUAGCAUUCAUUAAAGAUGCGCAGAAUUCCCUUUUUGGGUAAACACCUCUUAGACUUUGGGCAAGUUUAAAUUAAUCUAUAAGAGGAAAUGGAUUUAAAAAUUGUUAACAAGCUACAUUUUUAAGCAGUGAAAUGUUAAAGUUUAUUCAGCAAACAAAUGAAUAUCUUCUUGUAUUUGGCCAUUUUCAAAAGAGCAUAAUUUGGCAUGAAGCAAAUGAUCUAUAAAAGCAAUAUUGCUAUUAGAUAUGAGCUUUUGACUUUUUGAACAAAUUCCUCAUUAAUACCUAUGGACUACAUUUUAUAUUAAAUAUAAAAACAAAGAUGUCACUAAUGUGGAGCUGGGAGAGGAACAGGAAGACCUAAACCAGCUUACUUUGCUGAGAAAUUGUGAGAAAUGAAUGGUACAAACCCGUAGUUACCACUGUUUUGGAAAAAAACAAUUCUUGAGAGAGCGAUUGUUUCAUGUAUUCUUAACCUCUGACAUAAUCCCAUCUUGUAUGUAAAAACUGUAGCAAUGUUAACUUAUGCCAAGUGCUUCCUAAUUUAACUCUGUGAUUUAUGCUAGAGUAAUUGGAGAUUUAGAUUGAGCCUUCAAUGAUGUGAUCAAUUAUUUUGAAUAUGCUAAACUGGUAACUCAGUAAAAAUCAAUGGGGUUUCCUUUAAAGCAAACGACCAUAUUAUUUUUGUUUGAUUUUACUGACAAUUAAAUCAAGCGAUGGUUUGGAAUUGUAUGAAUAUAACCUCAGACAUUUGUUUUAUUGUGAGCUAAAACAUG
rnacentral:lncRNA from 1 species